GACCAGACUCCUACGGGAGGCAGCAGUGGGGAAUAUUGCACAAUGGGGGAAACCCUGAUGCAGCAACGCCGCGUGAGUGAAGAAGUAUUUCGGUAUGUAAAGCUCUAUCAGCAGGGAAGAAGAUGACGGUACCUGACCAAGAAGCCCCGGCUAACUACGUGCCAGCAGCCGCGGUAAUACGUAGGGGGCAAGCGUUAUCCGGAUUUACUGGGUGUAAAGGGGGCGCAGACGGCGAUGCAAGCCAGGAGUGAAAGCCCGGGGCCCAACCCCGGGACUGCUCUUGGAACUGCGUGGCUGGAGUGCAGGAGGGGCAGGCGGAAUUCCUGGUGUAGCGGUGAAGUGCGUAGAUAUCAGGAGGAACACCGGUGGCGAAGGCGGCCUGCUGGACUGCAACUGACGUUGAGGCCCGAAAGCGUGGGGAGCAAACAGGAUUAGAUACCCUGGUA
rnacentral:rRNA from 1 species